rnacentral:rRNA from 1 species
UACGUAGGGUGCAAGCGUUAGUCGGAAUUACUGGGCGUAAAGCGUGCGCAGGCGGUGAUGUAAGACAGAUGUGAAAUCCCCGGGCUCAACCUGGGAACUGCAUUUGUGACUGCAUCGCUGGAGUGCGGCAGAGGGGGAUGGAAUUCCGCGUGUAGCAGUGAAAUGCGUAGAUAUGCGGAGGAACACCGAUGGCGAAGGCAAUCCCCUGGGCCUGUACUGACGCUCAUGCACGAAAGCGUGGGGAGCAAACAGG